UUUGAAAUUAAGAAAUCUUCCUUUUUUUUUUUUGAAGAACUAUGCAUUAGUUAAAUGGAGCCUAGUUAAAUAUUGUGACAUUUGGAAAUCCUUACUUCUGUGAUUGUGAUAUGAUUAAAUGUUUUGUGAAAUAUGCAUUUUGACAGGGUUGUUGUGCUGCUGGUUUUUUAUGAUGCCCCAAAUAUUUAUUUUGGGUUGAAUUUCAACUUCUAAUAGAUUGAUUAGUAAUCUCUCAUGGGUUUGGAAAUAAUAAUUUGUUUGCGAGCUUCUUUGUACUGAGUGUGUUAGAGUCAUUUUACUUUUCAUUCGGAUGGUAAGCAAAAAUUCCUCAACUAUACAAGAAAUGAGGAAGAUAAAUACACUAACACACUUUGUUUUCUCCUCAAUAUCAGGGAUGAUUUCCUUUAGAAAGAUUUGAAAGUGCUGCUGAUUUUGUUUUUGUAUUUAUUUUGUUGUUAGGAAUUAAUAUUGGGAGGUGUUAAAUGGACCGUUGGGAUUGGGUUCAAGUCCCACAGCAGAGCACGGGCAUUCCUGCUAGUUGUCACUCAAUAGCAAGUUGGUGAUAAACAAUCAGUACACCUAAGAUUGUGCAGCUUGUCAAACAUUUGAAACCCUACUUUGGAAUACUCCUUGUUAUUAGGUUAGAUGCUAGAUUAUCUAUCAUCAACGAGGACAACAUUUUUGACAUAAUUCUACUAGGUACUAGUGUGGUACUGAUAUGCUUUUAUAAAAAGUGGGUAUAAAAAAAGCUGAGCUCAAAAAAAUAUUUGGUAAACACUUAAAAAAAAGCUUAUUUUCACAAUUUUGGGUGAAAAAAAAAACUAAAAACGUGAAG
rnacentral:lncRNA from 1 species